GACAGAGACAGCAGAUGGGAGCAGCACAAGCCCGAGCAACAAGUUUUGAGGUGCAGGAGGCCUUUAUCUCUCACACCCAGGUUUGUUCAAGGUUGUCACACCGGCGGAAGGAGUAUCAGACUGCUCAGCGGCAGAUAGGUUGAAGCUCGGAGCCUUUCCCUGUUCCGACUCCAACCCCUCUUUGAAGUAUUCGGGGAGCUCGAGGCACUCGGAGCCACUGGAAGUGUGAAAGAAGGUUUCUGCCUCUAGUCCUCCCUCAAUGCAAGACCGGAGACUGUUGUAUCUGAGGAACCGGGCGUACUCCUUUCGUGGCAGCAGUUUUUGCUUCGACCUCUUUCCGCGUCAUGUUGAGCACCCCGUCACCGCCACGAUGUAACCACUCAGGAGCCCGAAAAACAUCCUCUGCCUUUUUUAUCUGCAGGGGUUUUCUAAAGAGAAUCUGUAAGAGCACAGUCCCACCUGCCAGUGAGGUUGCGGCCCCAUCCGCCGCUGACAGACCCUUUACGUCCUCCGACAGAGCCUUCACCGACAGACCCUCCGACGGACCCUUCGCCUCCACUUGCCCGCGUGGCAGUUCGAGUGAAUUGGAACCGUCCUGCGAAAGACCCUUCGCCUCCACCGCAUCCUCCAACAGACCUGCGUUCUGCGACAGACCCUCCGCCUCCACUUGCAUUGACAGACACACCUCGUCCCCUUUCGACCAGUGUGACCUAGAAGUUUUGAAACGGCAGAGGAGUCGUCUCUCUUCUGUUCGGCUUCAGACUUGUCUCUCUUCUGUUCGGCUUCAGACUCACAGGGCCGCUCUUUAGGCAGAGGAGGCUUUGAGGACUCUCGCUUCAGACUUGUCCCUCUUCUGUUCGGCUUCAGACUUGUCUCUCUUCUGUUGGGCUUCAGACUUACAGGGCCGCUCCUUAGGCAGAGGAGGUUUGGAGGAUUCUCUCUUGUGUUCCGCUUCAGACCUAGAGGAGCGCUUUCUAGCGAGAGGAGGCUUGGAGGAGUGUCUCUUGUGUUCCGCUUCAGACCUAGGCCGCUUUCUAGCGAGAGGGUGUUUGGAGGAUUCUCUCUUCCGUCUGACUCAUCGAACAAACCCGCCGUCCCUCUGCUGCAAGAACUGUGCAGAAGGCCUUCAGGUGCUGAGAUCCAGGGCCCUUCCUCAGUCCCACCUGCCAGUCAAGUCAUGUGCCCAUCCGCAGUUGAGCCGUUUCCCCAAUUCCUCGCCCCGGAGUUCCGCUAGUAACGUACUUCACAAACGCGACGGCAUCCGUCGGGUAGCUUUUUAUGGUCGUCCUCUAGUCUUUUAGACAUUGAUAAUCCUUACAAUUUUGUACUUACUUCCUGAUCCGAACGUAGUCCUUGAGAAAGAGAAGGUUCAGAUGCGGAACAGCGGGCUCGGACGUGAACGUCAAGGAAGUAAAGGACGUGGUUAGCUGGCUGGCGGGCAUUCUCCCUUAUUUUCUCAACCUUUUCUCGACUGGUUGAGAAGUGCAGCUGUUUCAGGUCGUCGUUCCAUUCGUCAUUCCGUUCUUCUUCGGCUUCCAGCAGCUCUUUACCACCUUCAGCUCGGCAGCAAGGAUCCCACAGUUCUUGCUGCAGGGGGGGUCGGAGUCCUCGCAACCGGCUCGUUCCUCCUAAACAACUGCUUUCUUGGCAAAUGGCUGGCAGGUUCGUUCAAGGGCGUCGCACUGGCGGAAGGAGUGGAAGACGGCUCGGCGGCGGACCGGGCCACGACAUCACUGGCGGGUUUGUUCGACACGGGCGGAACGAGGGGCGGACGGCUCUGCGGGGGACCGGGCAACGACCUCACUGGCACGUAGGACUGAGGAAAGGUCCUGGAACGUCCUCCCGAUCACUUCUUGCAUAGCUGCUUCAUCGAUUCACAUCGAGAUGAGGUGCCAUCGGCGGGUAGUGGAACUCUGGGCGAGGAUGAGGAGGGACGUGUCGAGAUCGGUGCUAGGGCGACAGCUGGCUCUGCGCCACAGAAAGUCCGAGAGCGAGUUAAUACAAGAGGAUGGGGCGUCAACCCACAAGCCCAAAGCGGCCAAGCAAGGGCACAAAUGUCCAAUAUGUGGGCUGGACUACGCCGACUUAACGCAGCACAUUAAACUAGGUGAACGCGUGGUCAACAGAACUGAACUGGAACUGCUGUCUAAGCUGGCACACAGACGGUGCAGAAGGCCUUCCGGUGCCGAGAUCCAGGGCCCUUCCUCAGUCCCACCUGCCAGUGAAGUCAUGUGCCCAUCCGCAGUUGAGCCGUUUGCCAAUUCCUCGCCCCGGAGUUCCGCUAGUAACGUGCUUCACAAACGCGACGGCAUCCGUCAGGUAGCUUCUUAUGGUCGUCCUCUAGUCUUUUAGACAUUGAUAAUCCUUAAAAUGUUGUACUUAGUUCCUGAUCCGAACAUAGUCCUUGAGAAAGAGAAGGUUCAGAUGUUUAACAGCGGGCUCGGACGAGGAGGGACGUGUCGAGAUCGGUGCUAGGGUGGCAGCCGGCUCUGCGCCACAGAAAGUCGGUUGAUCUGGUGAAAGCGACUCAUCGUGCGUGGUUUGUUGAAAACGCGCCGGGAAAGAUUUCUGCUGCACUUGGUACAGGGAUGGUUUUCCACCGAGGGACCCUUGGCUGCGCUUUCUUUCAGCAGCGUGACCCAGCCGUCCCUCGGCUUCGAGAACUGUGCAGGGAUGGUUUUCCACCGACGGACCCUUGGCCUCCACUUCCACCGACGGAUCCACCGCGUCCUCCGACAGACCCUCGGCAUCUGCUCUUUCUUUCAGCGUUUACCUCUCCUGGGCCUCCUCUCGGCCGCCUGGCAGCUCAGAGGAUCCCACGGUCGGCAGCAGCGCGGAGUCGUUUGAACCGCCAGGCGGCCGAGAGGAGGCUGAGGAGGGGGCCGUCUCUGUCUGAAUUAAAGUGCACGUGCAAUGAAUAAA